CUUUGUGUUUUACUUUGAGGAGAUUGUGGGUCCCAACCCUAAACCUUCCCUGCCCAUUCCUUCGCCAGACGGCAGUCGCUCACUGUUAUUCCAGCACUUCGUGUUUCGUUUGGAGGUAGAAAAGCCCCCCUGACUAUGUGAUAGUGUGCGUGUCAAGACUCUGCCUUCGCCCUGACUCCACUUGUUCAAUGGGUGGAGUGUUUCCAGAACACCCUGCGCUGACUGCGCGUUACCAGAACCAGAUUUGAAGUGGGAUGUUUCUGGGCGUUUUACCCCGACACACAUGGGGUUAGACGCCUUCCCUGCACAAACACUCACCCCGCCUCACACACACACACACACACACACCCUUUCCCGAUUGACAAGGGGUGAUGCAAGCUGGAAGAACUGGUCAGUCAGGAGAGGACUUCAUUCCAACGAGCUCUGCGGCUCCAAGCCGGCGCUAUAAAACGGAGCAGCGAGCAGACUCGCCGAGCAGGAGGGCAGCGGGUUGCAACAGAGAAAUGCAUGCACGGAGUCGCGGUCUCUGUCUCUGAGAAGGCAGCAGCUGAGAGCUGCCUAUCAGGCAAGAGGUACAGAAGUGUGAAAACGCACACCUCCAGAUUCGGGGACAGUUUCUUCUCAGUUGUUAUUAGGCAACUGAACUAUCCUUUUACCAACUAGAGAGCUGUCUUCACCUACCAUCUACCUCACUGGAGACCCUUGGACUAUCUUUAAUCGGACUUUACUGGACUUUAUCCUGCACUAAACAUUAUACCCUUUAUUCUGUAUCUGUACACUGUAGAUGGCUUGAUUGUAAUUAUGUAUAGUCUUUCCGCUGUCUGAAUAGCAUGCAACAAAAAUAGCUUUUCACUGUACCUCAGUAUACGUGACAAUAAUAAACUAAACUAAAAUGUC